AGAGUUUGAUCCUGGCUCAGGAUGAACGCUAGCGGGAGGCCUAACACAUGCAAGCCGAGCGGUAGAGAUCUUUCGGGAUCUUGAGAGCGGCGUACGGGUGCGGAACACGUGUGCAACCUGCCUUUAUCAGGGGGAUAGCCUUUCGAAAGGAAGAUUAAUACCCCAUAAUAUAAGAAACGGCAUCGUUUUUUAUUGAAAACUCCGGUGGAUAGAGAUGGGCACGCGCAAGAUUAGAUAGUUGGUAGGGUAACGGCCUACCAAGUCAGUGAUCUUUAGGGGGCCUGAGAGGGUGAUCCCCCACACUGGUACUGAGACACGGACCAGACUCCUACGGGAGGCAGCAGUGAGGAAUAUUGGACAAUGGGUGAGAGCCUGAUCCAGCCAUCCCGCGUGAAGGACGACGGCCCUAUGGGUUGUAAACUUCUUUUGUAUAGGGAUAAACCUUUCCACGUGUGGAAA
rnacentral:rRNA from 1 species